rnacentral:rRNA from 1 species
AGCGAACGCUGGCGGCAGGCUUAACACAUGCAAGUCGAGCGGGCAUCCUUGUGGUGUCAGCGGCAGACGGGUGAGUAACGCGUGGGAACGUGCCCUUCGGUUCGGAAUAACUCAGGGAAACUUGAGCUAAUACCGGAUACGUGCGAGAGCAGAAAGGUUUAUCUGCCGAAGGAUCGGCCCGCGUCUGAUUAGCUAGUUGGUGAGGUUACGGCUCACCAAGGCGACGAUCAGUAGCUGGUCUGAGAGGAUGAUCAGCCACACUGGGACUGAGACACGGCCCAGACUCCUACGGGAGGCAGCAGUGGGGAAUAUUGGACAAUAGGGGCAACCCUGAUCCAGCCAUGCCGCGUGAGUGAUGACGGCCUUAGGGUUGUAAAGCUCUUUUCUCCGGGACGAUAAUGACGGUACCGGAGGAAUAAGCCCCGGCUAACUUCGUG